rnacentral:rRNA from 1 species
CCUACGGGUGGCAGCAGUCGAGAAUCAUUCACAAUGGGGGAAACCCUGAUGGUGCGACGCCGCGUGGGGGAAUGAAGGUCUUCGGAUUGUAAACCCCUGUUAUGUGGGAGCAAAUUAAAAAGAUAGUACCACAAUAGGAAGAGACGGCUAACUCUGUGCCAGCAGCCGCGGUAAUACAGCGGGCUCAAGCGUGGUUCGGAAUCACUGGGCGUAAAGCGUGCGUAGGCUGUUUCGUAAGUCGUGUGUGAAAGGCGGGGGCUCAACCCGCGGACGGCACAUGUUACUGCGAGACUAGAGUAAUGGAGGGGGAACCGGAAUUCUCGGUGUAGCAGUGAAAUGCGUAGAUAUCGAGAGGAACACUCGUGGCGAAGGCGGGUUCCUGGACAGUAACUGACGCUGAGGCACGAAGGCCAGGGGAGCGAAAGGGAUUAGAUACCCCAGUAGUC